AUGGACCAUUCCAUCCCUUUUUCCCAUGCAUAUGCAUCGGACUCGGAUGACGAUGGUCCCGAUGAACAAGUUGAUGCAGAGGGGUUCACGGUGAAGGAGGCCGAAGCUUUCGAGAAGGUAUUUGGUCGGGAUCAUCGGACUACAUUGUUCAAGGAUGUUAGUCUCGCGGAUGAAGCCGUGGUAGAUGGUGGCCAAUGUGUAGCUCUUGGGGUUAGGCCAAGCUCUCAC
rnacentral:rRNA from 1 species